rnacentral:lncRNA from 1 species
AACCAUUCAAAAUACAUCCCAAUAAUACCAUUCGUUUAUAAUUUCAAAUUACUACAUCCACAAAAUAUAUACCAAACUACCCAUAUAUACAUCUCAAAUUCACAACACAUAGAUUAUCUUCAACAAAAGGACUAAUAUCACACAGAUUAUCUUCAACAAAAGGACUAGACUGUUGUUGCAGAACUAAUUGUUUGCAUAUGCAUGGGCAAUAUAAGUACAAAGAAUACACUUUUAACUCAUAUCUACAACUAGCUCCACAAGUUUGGCUUUGGCUUUGGCUUUGGUCCUUAAAAUGAGUUUUUCAAAGGGUGUUGGGCUGUUGGCUACCUGCUGGCCACAUCUUAAUUCCAAAACAGACUAUCGGCUGCAAAUCACUGCUCGGUCCAAAUGCUAUCGUGGUAGAGUUUUAUGAACCCUCAAGUCAGAAAUCACUGAGAACGCGUACACAUUCAGUUUGGUGGCUCUAGACAUCAUUUUUCUGGACAAAUGGAGUAUUUAAUUAGCAAUACUAGCGAAGCUUGUGUGAUCAGCAGAUUGAAUCCCCUGUUAUACACAUUAUAUGAAAUCACCAAAAUGUCAAAAGCUAUGAACAUUCAUUUCCUGGGGACCAGCAACUAAUAGCUAUAGACAUUAUAUGGCUCUUAGAUAACAUCAGUAAAAAGCAUUUAUAUAGCUAUAGACAUUAAAGCUGCCAAUAGCUAUAGACAUUAAAGCUGCCACAACUAUCUCCUUCAACAGUCCUGCUCUUACUAAUCCUUUAAAGGGGUUCUAAAUUUUAGGGCUUGCACAUACCUGUUUUAGAAAGGGCAGCCAUCCUUGAAAGGAUUCUUUGGUUUUGUGUUAUGGGUGUCUCAUUCAAAUCAACCUCCCUCAAAUUGCCACUUGAUCUGUGUAAGUAUAGAACUUCAGGACACAGACACAUUUGCGUCAAUGAAGAAAAAGUUGAAACAGAACAAGAAAACUGAUAGAUCUAAUAUUAUUGCAACAGGAAUAUACAGUGUCAUUAACAUUAAACCCAUUAUGCUAUUAAGUCAAGAUACUAACCCUCAUUACAAUGGGACAUGGCUGCUCUAUGGAUGUGACCUGCAAUAAACCACAUCAAAAUACUUUUGUCAAAUAAUCAAACUUUGCAAGGAAGAUAACACAAUAAAACCAUCAUUGAUCAACUAAAGCAUGAUCAUCAAGGACAUCCACUGCCUGUUAUACACGAUAAAUUUAAUGUUAUAACCACAGAGAGUAUCCAUCCAUUAGGUAUGCAACAACUGAUGAUGAAAUUCUCUUUAAUCACAUAAACAAACUUUUAAAUCAAAUUAGUUGACCUCUUUGCUGGUCUCUGACAUUUUAAAAUGUAAGUUGACCCUCAUUUUACCCACCAUUGAGCUUUAGCAUAGCUGUUAGUAUUAGCAGGGCUGAGAUACAAGGUUUGUUAAAAGUUUGGAACUCCGAUAGGACUUGAGGGGGAAAAAAAAUUAAGGAAUAACCUAAUGGGAAGGAAUACAUGAAGCUCUUUUAGGUUUACUUUAAAUAACUCUCUUCUCAUUCACACUUUGAGCAUACCGCAACCAUUUCAAAAUUAUAAAAUUACAGUUUCCAAUGGUAGCUAUGUUCCAAAAGAAAAAAAAGGGAAAACAUACAAGAUUUUCAAAGAUACACUAGAUGAAGUGAUAACAUAAAAACAAACAUAUGUAAACUAGAUUCUCAUAAAUUCAAUACAAUUUACAGCCAUUUUUUUCUUAUAUAGUUACAUAAUGUGUACCCCACUACUCUGUCUCCCUAUCCAUAGAAGGCACCACUCUUAUAUAGGAGGAAAAACAAGGGGCUAAAGAACAUGUAUAAACAUGGAGACACAGAAAGAGAGCUGCAGCCAAGGUAGUUUUGUCCUAAUGGAAAGGGAUGGGAAGGAAAAGUUAGACAAUUUCUUUCUAAAAUUUGAAAUAAAGUGUCCAACUUUACCUUAUAAGGUCGAUUUCAUCUUCCCAUGCAGUUGAUACCUCAGGGCCUUACCAUUCUGAUGAAGCAAAAACUAUGUGGAGAUUACUUUUAU